rnacentral:rRNA from 1 species
GACGAACGCUGGCGGCGUGCUUAACACAUGCAAGUCGAACGGCAAGGCACUGCUUUUGUGGGGUGCUCGAGUGGCGAACGGGUGAGUAACACGUGAGUAACCUGCCCUUGACUUUGGGAUAACUUCAGGAAACUGGGGCUAAUACCGGAUAGGAGCUCCUGCUGCAUGGUGGGGGUUGGAAAGUUUCGGCGGUUGGGGAUGGACUCGCGGCUUAUCAGCUUGUUGGUGGGGUAGUGGCUUACCAAGGCUUUGACGGGUAGCCGGCCUGAGAGGGUGACCGGCCACAUUGGGACUGAGAUACGGCCCAGACUCCUACGUGAGGCAGCAGUGGGGAAUAUUGCACAAUGGGCGGAAGCCUGAUGCAGCAGCGCCGCGUGCGGGAUGACGGCCUUCGGGUUGUAAACCGCUUUCGCCUGUGACGAAGCGGGAGUGACGGUAAUGGGUAAAGAAGCACCGGCUAACUACGUG